UACGAAGGGGGCUAGCGUUGUUCGGAAUUACUGGGCGUAAAGCGCGCGCAGGCGGCUAUCCAAGUCAGUGGUGAAAGCCCGGAGCUCAACUCCGGAACUGCCAUUGAAACUGUUUAGCUUGAGGAUGAGAGAGGUGAGUGGAAUUCCACGUGUAGCAGUGAAAUGCGUAGAUAUGUGGAGGAACACCGAUGGCGAAGGCAGCCCCCUGGGUUAACACUGACGCUCAUGCACGAAAGCGUGGGGAGCAAACAGG
rnacentral:rRNA from 1 species